rnacentral:lncRNA from 1 species
CUCCUGAGUCUGAGCCAGUCAAAUCUUCCCGCCCCCCGNGGGAGGCAGGACUCCUGAUUCUGCAUCAUCCCCUUUGGAAUGUUUGAGGCGCCCAGUCCAGAUAUCCCAUCAACCCUCCUCACACNACCUCAGUUUGNUCUGUGAAAACUGAAUAGAAAAUUNAAAAUUUUUUUUGAGGGUAACACGUUGCUGCUCGUCGCGCUUAGUGCUGUUACUUCUGGAAUUCUGCUUCAGACACAGGUUAAAGCACUGAACGGGUCCUUCACGUUUUCAGUGAGUUAAUUACAGAUCCAGAUGCCCAGAUGCCGAGCUGCUCCCAGAAGCCAGUGUGGAUGAGGAACCUUAAUGUCUGAGGAUUACUCUGUCCGAAGAGGCUCAGAGGCUUCUGCUGAGUGACAGANUGGCUUCCCAUUCCGGAGCUGGAUGUGGCAGAGACGUGUCCCAUUUCAGGGUCUUUCAGUGAACUGGGGAACUCAGGAGAGAAUGAAUCCUGGGAANGAAGGCCAUGGAAGACCUCUGUAAAGUUGGGAGGGAUAAGCACAUUUCAGUGGCCACAAGGAUCGGGUGAUAAUCAAUGCCUGUGAAAGCUGGACACUGAGGAAGAG